CUCGAGAUCCCCGCCCUCCGCCACUCCCGCGCGCUCCACGCUCCACCGUCCGUUUCGCGCUCCGAAGAUCCGGCCUCAUCCACCACCACCUUCGCCCGCCGUCUCCCUCCCCCACUCGCGUCCCGGCCGUCUCCUUUCUUUAAUCAAAAAAAAAUCUUCCCGAAUUCUCCUCCAUCCCCCCACUAAUCCCACCGGUGAUCCCUUUCCCUAAUGCUAACGAUGAGCAGUCGCCGCGACUUCUCCACGCCUAACCCCUCUCCUCCCUUCCGCGCUUCUUCUUCUUCCUCUCCUUCUCCUUCCUGGCGUUCCGUACUGAUUUGGUCGUCGCGCCUGGGUUCGAUUUGACCGCCCCCACCACCUGUCGUAUCCGCCCGUGCAACCGCUCCGGCCGUUCGUUUCUUGGUUCCUGGUUCAUCGGUUUUCUUGCGCUGGUUUAGGGAUUAUUGGGAGCGAUACUUGUACAGUUCUGCACUCUGCGUACCAUGUGAACAAGUUUGAAGAUAGGGCCAUAUCUGUGCUGCCGUGCAGCACAAUGAUAUCUACUAAGACGCCACAUUGGUGAUUGUUGUAAUUAUAUUGUUCAAAAGUAAGAGACGUUGAAGAAAAUCGACAUAGAUUUGUGACGGUGGAUACUGGUUAUGGAAGGUAUAUUAUUAAUCAGAACAAUUUGAAUCAAAACGAGACAAUGAGCAAAAUGAUGAUUUAACAGGACUUCCCAGAGCCUUUACUGUUAUGGAGAUUUCAUCACAUGAACCAUCAGAAGCAGAAAUUUUAAUUGGACAUGAAGAUGACACAGAAUUGACACCUUGCGAAGGUAUGCAAUUUGAGUCUGAAGAUGCUGCAAGGGAUUUUUACAGCUUGUAUGCGAGACAUGCAGGUUUUCGAAUUCGGAUCAGCAGGUAUACCCGCUCCAGACAUGAUAAUUCAAUCAUUUCUCGUCGUAUUGUAUGCUCAAAGGAGGGAUUUCAUGAAACACGUAACUGUGAAGGCCUCCACCCUGACCAAAAACAGCAAGAACGGACAGGUACUAGAGUUGGUUGCAAGGCUAUGAUAAUGAUAAAAAAAAUUGAUCCUGGCAAAUGGGUAGUUACUAAAUUUGUGAAAACCCAUAAUCAUGGAUCAGUUCCACCAAGAAAACUUGAUAUUAGGUCAGCACAUCAGGACCUUAAUCCAGUUGAAAAGCCACAUUCUACCGAGGAAGACUCUGUUGAGGAACCGGCUGAGGGAAUGGAAUUUGAUUCUGAAGAAGCCGCGAAAUUGUUCUAUAUAAAUUAUGCGAGGCUUAAUGGUUUCCGUGCGCGUAUUAGCAGGUAUUGCCGUUCAAGACGUGAUAAUUCAAUCAUUUCUCGCCAGAUUGUGUGCUCCAAGGAAGGCUUCCGUGAAGUUCGAGCCAAGAAAGAGAUCACAGACGAAGGGAAAACGAAGCGCCCAAGAAUGAUAACCAGAGUUGGUUGCAAAGCUAUGAUUGUAGUGAAAAAGAUGAACUCUGGAAAAUGGAUGGUAUCUAAAUUUGAGAAGGAGCAUAAUCAUUCGUUGUUAUCUUCUAAACAGGCCCCUAGUACAUCGAACAUUACUUCUGGAGAAAAUGCUGAAUUUGCUGCAAAGAGUUCAGAUCCUGAUGAAGUGAAGGUUGAGGAAUACAGUGCAGGGAUUCAAUGUAAUUCUACAGAUUCACUCACUGUACUUUACAACCAAUUAUGUCAGGAGGCUAUAAAAUUUGCGAAAGAAGGAUCAGUCACAGAAGAAAUUUACCAUGUGGCGAUGUCUGCCUUGAAAGAGGCAGCAGAGAAGGUUGCUCAAGUCAAAAGUUGUCAUCCAAUAAUGCCGCACCGUGGAGUUUCUGGUAGUGAAAGUAAACAUAAGGUCGUACAGAUGAAAACUAUGAGUGCUUCGCAAUGUUCAGAUGUGGCCAAACAGAAAACAACACCUUCGCAGCUCACGGUGUUUCAAGAGUCUGUGUCCAAACUAAUGUUCAUUCCUACCAACCUGUUGACUGAUUCCGGCUUAGCUAAUUCUGAUAGCAAUCAUCCGUCAUUGUGUGCUUUCACCUCAAGUGGGAGACAAUGCGGGCAUGGAUCAGAAUGUUCCUAUUUGCAUGCUGAGAACAGAAAGGAGGACUGUCCUGAGAAAUAUCAGAAUAGCACUUCGAGUCGGGCAACACAGGGAAAUCAUUCAACCUAUCAUGGACAUUCUGAAGAAACUACAGUUGCUAUUCCUGCUAUACCUCUGACGCUUCACAUGCCUUUGCCGAGGAAUUCACCUGGAGCUUCUGCUGAUGGACAGUACAAAUUGUUGGCUGCACCUAUCGAAGCAGUUCCAAUUUCAUACCGCCCUGCAGAACCCAUCAGACAACCAAAAAGAAGUUUUUGUAAUUUAGGUCCAUUGCCAGGUGUUAUGUCUGAACUGACCAGGCAAGAAAAAGGUCCACACCCUCUUGUGCAUGCUACAGCUCUUGCUUGUGGUGCUCGUGUUGUUCCUGUUGAGGAGGCAGCUUCGCUGAUCAAGGCCAUCGAGUCCAAGAUCAGAUCUGGAGGGGCCAAAAUAGCAAGAUUACCUUCAAGCAGGUUGACACGUCUAGUUCCUGAGGCGAUCUCCAUGUCAUCGUCUAGUGAAGAUGGCGAGGAGAAUGACCACAGUGAGCCACCGGCGGUGAAUGUCGAAGGCUACUGCCAUGAUGAUCAGAUAUCUGAGGAAAUGAAGUUGCAAGGUGAGGCAUCAGAGUUGGAAACUGAUUUUGAGAAUUGUUCUGGGCAUGAAAACCAUGAUACUGCUGAUUGCUGACAGAUGAUGACUGAAGGAUGAAAGUUGUCUGAAGAUGUAUUUUUCUGAACCAUAAAGCUGUAUGAAGAUCGAAGCUACCCUGCAAGGUAGUAAAUUUAUACUAUAAUUUAAAACAUUUGUGUAUAAUUGGAUUUAGGAUUCUAACCACUUGUCUCAUGUCGAUUAUAGACUGUAAUUGGGUUAACUCAAAUAGUUAACUCCAUUGAAGGGUUUUGUAAAAAAGAAAAGAACCACCCUUGCAGUGUUGGUGGAUAAUCUGUACAUGAACUACUUUUAUAGAAAGCAAAGAUAAAGGCAUUCAUACUUCCACUGGCUGUAUCUUUCUGGAGAGAACAUUUAGCAGUCAAUAAUGUUAUGAUCGUUUUGAGAAUAAAAAAUUUAUGAUCAAAUUCGAUGAUGGUUUUGCUUCUUCGCAUCCAUUCUGUAGCAACUUCUUUGUAAGC
rnacentral:rRNA from 1 species